GGAGUUAGCCGGUGCUUCUUCUGUGAGUGAUGUCCUUCCUGCCGGCUAUUAACCCGCAGGCCUUCUUCCUCACUGAAAGUGCUUUACAACCCGAAGGCCUUCUUCACACACGCGGCAUGGCUGGAUCAGGGUUGCCCCCAUUGUCCAAUAUUCCCCACUGCUGCCUCCCGUAGGAGUCUGGGCCGUGUCUCAGUCCCAGUGUGGCUGAUCAUCCUCUCAGACCAGCUACGGAUCGUCGCCUUGGUGAGCCGUUACCUCACCAACCAGCUAAUCCGACAUAGGCUCAUCCGAUAGCGCGAGGCCCGAAGGUACCCCGCUUUCCCCCGUAGGGCGUAUGCGGUAUUAGCCUGGGUUUCCCCAGGUUAUCCCCCACUACCGGGCAGAUUCCUAUGCAUUACUCACCCGUCCGCCGCUCGCCACCAGGGAGCAAGCUCCCCGUGCUGCCGCUCGACUUGCAUGUGUUAGGCCUGCCGCCAGCGUUCAAUCUGAACCAAGAUCAAAUUCUGA
rnacentral:rRNA from 1 species